rnacentral:lncRNA from 1 species
AUGGCAGAUAGAUCUUUAACGGUGAAACCGGAAAAUGUUCUCCUUAAUGUGAGAUUUGUCACCGGAGAAAUAGCGACAUUUCAAGGUGAACCACAAAGCGUUUUAGCAGUAUCCUGUAACCGGAGUUUUCAUAACAAGGCCGGAACGGCUCAAGCCGCAGCGGAGCGCUGUCCGAAUGCUGAAACUCAAGUAAAGAAUAAUCAUGUAUUUCCGUUAGUGGGUGAUUUGGUGAUUCUAGCAGAACAACAAAAUGAUCCUGUUUUUAAUCAGAUAGCGUGGUGUUGUUGGGAAAAUCCAGCGAAACUCCCCACGGGCGAGCAGUAUGAGAUCCUUCUGGGAUUGCUUGAGCAAAUACCAACUGGACCGGAACCUUUAGUUCUCACUCCAUUUGGAGUCGGGCAGUACCGAUGUGAUCAGGGAGCGAUGUACUCUGCUAUGGCGGAGUUCGUGGUUCAACGGGCUAAUAGUAGAACAAUUUACUUCUUAUCUAGAAGCAAAAAUGAGGCAAUUCAAAUGAGACAGGCGUUAUGUAACCGACUGGGGAACGACGGAGGAAAGCUUUAAGCUCUGAAAUCAGUACAGGAAAAGUUACAUUAGCUGGGUGUUUGGGAACAAUCGCAGGGCUUUCCCAAGUACAGCAGGAAAAACUUUUAGCUGAUCUGCCCGGGGGAUUAAUGAUGGCUGCGAUGUGGCCUAAUCUCUCCCCUGCAGAAAAAAUCAGACAAGCGCAGGCGUGGGAUCGCACAAGGGAAUUUAAGCAGUCAAAAAACGAAUUAGGACGGCAGGCCGGAAACAGAUUGAAAGGUCAGAUACCAUCCCCUCUGCCCCCUCCACACCAACAGCAAGGGAGCCAAUCAGUGAGUUCUCAACCGAGGCAACUCCCACCCAGAACAGAACCGAAUCAGAACCAGAGAACCAGGGGCCAAAUGGACCCAAAUGCAAGGCCGUUUUUCAUGGGACCCCCCGGCUGCCCUGUGGCUCGACCCAGGAGAGCGAAUCCGGAGGAGUGGGCCCGGAUGACCAGAGAACAGAAGGAGAAAUUGAUCCAAUCAAUCAAAGAUUGGGACGCGAAAUACCACAAUCAGAGAAGACCGCCACCACAAAAGUAGAAAUAAUUGAGGCGCUCUCAUCUCAUACGCAUUGGGAUGGGGAGUGGCUUAAAGUAAAAUACGAAAAUACAAAAUACAUUUUAGAUACCGGGGCAUUAAUAUCAG